UAAAAUGGGUGGGCUCUUUUUAUUUUAUUUUCCCCUCUCUGUAUAUCAAAUUAUUUUUUGUUUCUCUCAAAAUGUAGUCAUUCUACAGUCAUCAAUUCUUAUUUUGAAUGACAUUUGACUAAUAAACUCCUUUCAGUAACUCUUUAACUUAACCGUCCUUUCCACCAAUGCUGACAAUAGAAUAGCUGCCCAUUUACAAAUUGUUGUGAUUUUGCAGCAAGUUUGAUGGUUUGUUAUAUAAAUUGAAUUUGGAAGCACUUAGAUAUUAAUUUACUAAUCUGAAGUUCUUAAAAAAAAAACAAAAAUCAAUGGAGACCUUUUUAACCAUAUCAUGUUUUGAAACCCCUCCAUAUUUUGAGCUUUUUUAUUUAUUGCCCUCAAUCUCUUGCAUUUUAAUGAUUUUCAUCCAAAUUAUACCCCUCAAUUAUAACUGGGUCCAAUUA
rnacentral:misc_RNA from 1 species